AGAGAAGAAGGGUCUGUCGCUGGCGUACAUGAUGCGUCAGAGGAAAGUCCGGGCAACACAGAGCGACCAUGCUUCCUAACGGGAAGUCUUUCGUGAGAGAGAAUGUACGGUAACAGAAAUAUACCGCUGCUUUCGGGCAGUAAGGGUGAAAAGGCGGGGUAAGAGCCCACCGGUCGUGUGGCGACAUGCGGCGUCAAUAUCGGUCAUGGGUUGCAAGAUCAUGUAUACCGACGUUUGAGGGCUGCUCGUCCGAGUCGGAGGGUAGAUUGCUAGAGGUGUGUGGUGACGCACAUCGUAGAUAAAUGGCAGACGCACGGCUUUUUAGUAAUAAUUGGCCGUGGCACAUAACCCGGCUUAUACUUCCUCUCUUCUU
rnacentral:RNase_P_RNA from 1 species